CUUAUCCACACUGCAAACAAACCCAUAUCAGUCAUUUCAUUACCAUCACCCCCAUUCAGACAAAACCCAUAUCAUGAAACUUCCUUAACUUUUAGACAACAAGUCCAAGAGGGAAAAAAAGAUAUCACCCAGUCCCAGAGUAGUAAAAGAAGGUGAAAAGGCAAAGUGAAAGGCACAAAACCCUGUUAUCUUUUGCUUGUAGAUUGAAGGAAAGAAAGAAGGCGUAAAGAGUUAGUUUUUAGAGGGAGUCAGAAGGAAAAAAAUAAUGAUAUAAUUAAAAAGAAAACUUUAUCACAAGUUCUCUCCUCAUCCUCUCUCUUUCUCUAUUAUAUCUCUGCAACUCCCAUUCUCUAAUUUAAAAGAAAAUAAAAAAAAUGAAAAACCCAUGAAGGGUUGGUGAGCUUUUCACGUGUUUUUUGUUCAAAAAUCGAAUCUUUUUGGUCCACGUAUGGUUCCAUUUCGAUCUCUCUGGAAAAGGUUUUCUCUAGUGAUGUUGAUAAUGUGAGUUAUUGAUUGAGCCUUUUUUUUAUUUUUUUUUAUUUUUCUUCUCGUGGAUUCUUGUUUUUUUGAGAGAUAUAUUGAAAGUAGAGGGAGUUAUAAGGAGAAAUGGAUCGAUCGGCGAUGACAGUGGGACCUGGAAUGGACCUGCCGAUUAUGCACGAUGGAGACCGGUAUGAGCUAGUGAAAGAUAUUGGGUCAGGGAAUUUUGGUGUAGCUAGGUUGAUGAGGGAUAAACAGACUGAUGAUCUUGUUGCUGUUAAGUAUAUCGAGAGAGGUGAGAAGAUAGAUGAAAACGUGCGAAGAGAAAUCAUUAACCACAGGUCGCUUAGGCAUCCCAACAUUGUCAGAUUCAAAGAGGUCAUAUUAACCCCAACUCACCUGGCAAUUGUGAUGGAAUAUGCAUCUGGUGGAGAGCUCUUUGAGCGCAUAUGUAUUGCUGGUCGCUUCAGCGAGGAUGAGGCACGCUUUUUCUUUCAACAACUUAUAUCAGGAGUUAGCUACUGCCAUGCAAUGCAAGUAUGCCACCGUGACUUGAAACUGGAGAAUACAUUGUUGGAUGGAAGCCCAGCACCUCGAUUGAAGAUUUGUGAUUUUGGUUACUCUAAGUCUUCUGUGCUGCACUCACAACCGAAAUCUACUGUUGGAACUCCUGCCUAUAUUGCUCCUGAAGUGUUACUUAAGAAGGAAUACGAUGGCAAGAUUGCAGAUGUAUGGUCUUGUGGUGUGACUUUAUAUGUUAUGCUGGUGGGAGCAUACCCUUUCGAGGACCCUGAUGAGCCCAUGAAUUUUCGCAGGACAAUCCACCGAAUUUUAAAUGUCCAGUAUUCAAUUCCGGACUAUGUUCACAUAUCUCCUGAAUGCCAACAUCUAAUCUCAAGAAUUUUUGUAGCAGACCCUGCAAUGAGGAUUACCAUUCCCGAGAUUAGGAAUCAUGAAUGGUUUCUAAAGAAUCUCCCAGCAGAUCUCAUGGUGGAAAAUACAAUGAAUAACGAGUUUGAAGAACCCGAUCAACCAAUGCAAAGCAUUGAAGAGAUAAUGCAAAUAAUAUCUGAAGCCACCAUACCUGCAGCAGGCACCUCCAGCCUCAACCAAUAUUUGACUGGCAGCCUGGACAUUGAUGACGACAUGGAGGACUUGGAGAGUGAUCCUGAGCUUGACCUGGACAGCAGUGGAGAGAUAGUAUAUGCAAUGUGAGUGCCUAAUGGUGAAGGGGUAUCUAGAAUGCUGUGCUGAUUGCCUGUGAAAGUGAAGUGACUGUAAAAGAAUGGAGGACCAAGUUUCUACAUGCAUGUGUCCCGUUAUGCUAGCACCCUCAGAGGAUUGCUUCUGUUCUUCUGUGAUAUGUUGUCACACUUUCAAGUGGCAUAUAAAAUACUGUUUGUGUACACUUUGUAACACUUUCAUGAAUAUUUAGGGUAUGGACAUGUAUUUGACAAAAGCAACAGGGUUAGGCUGCCUGUCUUUAGUGCUUCUGCUGGCAAAAGGAACACCAGGUUAUCUUCGUCAAGGAUGCGUGUGAUCUGCAAUCAUCAUCUCUUGGUAAAGCUGUUUAUCUGCAAAGCUUCUUAGGCUCCUUUACUAUUUGGGGUAUGGAAGCAAGCAGAAAAAUUCGGAUGAUUUGGCAGAAACUAUUAACAUCUCAAAACAUCUCACAAUGAAUGACAACUUAGCUAGGGCGAGAGAGAGAAAGGGAAAUGGUUCAUGUUGCUGAACAUCUGAGGAAAAAACUUGAUGAUCUGACCUUCUGUCUGGUUUUGCUUAACACAACUCUUCUGGAGAACUACUUGUGUUCAUUUUUUUUCGUUGACUAGGACCUUGGACUCUUGUUUUAGUUCAAACUAGUUUUUUGUACCCGCGUAAUGUUGCGGCAUAAUUCUCAAAACUUAUUUUUAUUUAA